rnacentral:rRNA from 1 species
UUAAAUAUGUAAGGGCGUACGGUGGAUGCCUAGGCACUAAGAGCUGAUGAAGGACGCGACUAACAGCGAAAUGCCUCGGGGAGUGGUACGUACACAACGAUCCGGGGGUAUCCGAAUGGGGAAACCCAAUACUGGUUAUGCAGUAUUACACAUAAAUGAAUACAUAGUUUAUGAUGAGGCAACCUUGCGAACUGAAACAUCUUAGUAGCAAGAGGAAAAGAAAACAAAAGUGAUUCCCUGAGUAGUGGCGAGCGAAACGGGAAAAGCCCAACCAUCUUCGUGAUGGGGUAGUAGGACCACAACGUGGAUAUCGAAGCUAGUCGAAUGGCAUUGAAGGCCAGUCAAGAAGGUGCAAACCUGUAGACGAAAGCGUAAGAUACUUAGUGGUAUCCUGAGUACGGCGAGGCACGAGAAACCUUGUCGGAAUCAACCGGGACCACCCGGUAAGGCUAAAUACUCCUUAGUGACCGAUAGUGAACCAGUACCGUGAGGGAAAGGUGAAAAGAACCGCGGAAGCGGAGUGAAAUAGAUCCUGAAACCGUAUGCUUACAAGAAGUCAGAGCCCGUUAAUGGGUGAUGGCGUGCCUUUUGUAGAAUGAACCGGCGAGUUACUCAUAAUGUGCGAGGUUAAGUUGAAGAGACGGAGCCGAAGCGAAAGCGAGUCUUAAUAGGGCGAUAUAGUACAUUGUGGUAGACCCGAAACUGAGUGAUCUAGCCAUGACCAGGUUGAAGUUUGGGUGAAACCAAAUGGAGGACCGAACCGACCAUCGUUGAAAAGCUGGCGGAUGAGUUGUGGCUAGCGGAGAAAUUCCAAUCGAACUCAGAUAUAGCUGGUUCUCCCCGAAAUAGCUUUAGGGCUAGCGUCAAUGUAAGGCCACUGGAGGUAGAGCACUGAAUGUAUGAUGGCCCCAUCUCGGGGUACUGAAUAUAAUCAAACUCCGAAUGCCAGUGGAUAGUAGUUGGCAGUCAGACUAUGGGUGAUAAGGUCCGUAGUCGAAAGGGAACAGCCCAGACCAUCAGUUAAGGUCCCAAAAUUCAUGCUAAGUGGAAAAGGAUGUGGGGAUGCACAGACAACUAGGAGGUUGGCUCAGAAGCAGCCAUCCUUUAAAGAGUGCGUAACAGCUCACUAGUCGAGUGACCCUGCGCCGAAAAUGUACCGGGGCUAAGUAUGAUACCGAAACUAUGGAUUUAUUGUUUCAAUAAAUGGUAGGGGAGCGUUCUAUAACUGCGUUGAAGCUGUACCGUAAGGAGCAGUGGAGUGUAUAGAAGUGAGAAUGCCGGUGUGAGUAGCGAGAUGUCAGUGAGAAUCUGACACACCGAUUGCCUAAGGUUUCCAGGGGAAGGCUCGUCCUCCCUGGGUAAGUCGGGACCUAAGAUGAGGCUGAAAAGCGUAGUCGAUGGACAACAGGUUGAUAUUCCUGUACCCGAUACAUAAGUGAAGGAAUGACAGAGAAGGCUAGGUUAUGCCAGCGACUGGAAGUGCUGGUUUAAGCGAAGGAGCUGUAUGGUAGGCAAAUCCGCCAUGCAAAGCAAAGGCGUUACGAGGAGUGAACCCGUGAGGAAGUAGCGAAGUAACUGAUGCCAGCUCUCAAGAAAAGUUUCUAGCGUUAAUUAUGUAUUGGCCCGUACCAAAACCGACACAGGUAGGCAAGGAGAGAAUCCUAAGGUGAGCGAGAGAACUGUUGCCAAGGAACUCGGCAAAAUGACCCCGUAACUUCGGGAGAAGGGGUGCUCGUAAGAGCCGCAGUGAAGAGGCCCAAGCGACUGUUUAACUAAAACACAGCUCUCUGCAAAGUCGCAAGACGAAGUAUAGGGGUGACACCUGCCCGGUGCUGGAAGGUUAAGGGAAUAUGUUAGAAUUCGUUCGAAGCAUUGAACUGAAGCCCAGUGAACGGCGGCCGUAACUAUAACGGUCCUAAGGUAGCGAAAUUCCUUGUCGGGUAAGUUCCGACCCGCACGAAAGGUGUAACGAUUUGGGCGCUGUCUCGGCAGCAGACUCGGUGAAAUCUUAGUACCGGUAAAGAUGCCGGUUACCCGCAACUAGACGGAAAGACCCCAUGGAGCUUUACUGUAGCUUGAUAUUGAACUUUGAGCCUACAUGUACAGGAUAGUGGGAGACUAUGAAGCAUGUACGCUAGUAUAUGUG